rnacentral:rRNA from 1 species
AUUGAACGCUGGCGGCAGGCCUAACACAUGCACGUCGAGCGAGCGGCGGACGGGUGAGUAAUGUCUGGGAAACUGCCUGAUGGAGGGGGAUAACUACUGGAAACGGUAGCUAAUACCGCAUACCAUCAGAUGUGCCCAGAUGGGAUUAGCUAGGGGGUGGGGUAACGGCUCACCUAGGCGACGAUCCCUAGCUGGUCUGCGAGGAGGACCAGCCACACGGGAACUGAGACACGGUCCAGAAUCCGACGGGAGUCAGCAGUGGGGAAUAUUGCACAAUGGGCGAAAGCCGGAUGCAGCCAUGACGCGGGUGUGAAGAAGGCCUUCGGGGUGUAAAGCACUUUCAGCGGGGAGGCGUUACCCGCAGAAGAAGCACCGGCUAACUCCGUGCCAGCAGCCGCGGUAAUUC